ensembl:lincRNA
UCUAUUUCCUGCUGUCGAUAUUUUUUUUCAGCCAGGAUCUCAGAAAGAGUUUUUAUUCGGAUAGUGGGGGGGCUUCUUGUUCUUGAUGUAGAAUCAUCAGCUUUUGAAGGACUGGCUCUCUCGAGUUUAGUUUGCAACUCUCCCCGUUUUUGACUGGCUCUUUCAAGAAGAAUUUCUUCCAAGGUCUUCACAUGGAUGUCACUGACUUUAUUCCCUCUUAUUGUUGCUUCAUCAUUGCUUGGCCUAGUUGGUACGCCUAAUCUCUCCCUCGGAGACUGGGAAAUCUGCAUUUUAUGUGGUGUUUUGUUGAUAUUUGUUUCUGGAGCUUCCACUUUCUUUCCUAGACGCUCUGCCAGGCUCCGCUUUAAUUUGGGAUCACUGUCAUCAUCAGCUGAGAAUUUUCGUUUCCCCAGUCUGUCAGAAAGAUUCAGUCUAACCAAAGGUUCUUCUACUUUGCUUGACAAAGCUACUGUCUUUAGCACAUUUUUAUCACGCUCUUUUUCAGGACCCAGAAUGCUCUGAGGUUGGAUUAGAGGACUGGAAACUCCUGAAGAAACUUCUUGUUGUAAAUUGACACCAGGUUUCUGUGGAGAAGCCACCUGUAAUGCAUUCUGGACUUCAGGAGUUGACAGUAGAGGUGUUUUGGUUUCAUCACCUUUCUUGGAAGACUGGUUAUCAUCAUCUGUGGCAUUAAUUAUAACCUGUCGGUGUUUGGGGUGAGUAAUAUUUUGGUAACUUCCUCCUUUCACACCGGGAACACUCUGCCGCCGAGGAGAGGGGCUAGACUGCACAGAGACUUUGCUGUGUUGAGCUGCUAGCUGGCCUGCCUUUACUUCUUCAGGUGAUGGGAGUGCAGCGGGCACAACGGUUUUGCUUGGAGGUAGGAACAGGCCGUCGACAUUGGGUCGUCCUCUCUCACGGUGUAAAGCACAGUGUAAUUUUUGACAUCCUACUGGAUGAUUUUCCCUGUAGCACGGAAUUUCACUGCGUCGUCCUCUCUCACGGUGUAAAGCACAGUGUAAUUUUUGACAUCCUAGUGGAUGAUUUUCCCUGUAGCACGGAAUUUCACUGCGUCGUCCUCUCUCACGGUGUAAAGCACAGUGUAAUUUUUGACAUCCUACUGGAUGAUUUUCCCUGUAGCACGGAAUUUCACUGCGUCGUCCUCUCUCACGGUGUAAAGCACAGUGUAAUUUUUGACAUCCUACUGGAUGAUUUUCCCUGUAGCACGGAAUUUCACUGCGUCGUCCUCUCUCACGGUGUAAAGCACAGUGUAAUUUUUGACAUCCUACUGGAUGAUUUUCCCUGUAGCACGGAAUUUCACUGCGUCGUCCUCUCUCACGGUGUAAAGCACAGUGUAAUUUUUGACAUCCUACUGGAUGAUGAUGAUUUUCCCUGUAGCACGGAAUUUCACUGCGUCGUCCUCUCUCACGGUGUAAAGCACAGUGUAAUUUUUGACAUCCUACUGGACGAUUUUCCCUGUAGCACGGAAUUUCACUGCGUCGUCCUCUCUCACGGUGUAAAGCACAGUGUAAUUUUUGACAUCCUACUGGACGAUUUUCCCUGUAGCACGGAAUUUCACUGCGUCGUCCUCUCUCACGGUGUAAAGCACAGUGUAAUUUUUGACAUCCUACUGGACGAUUUUCCCUGUAGCACGGAAUUUCACUGCGUCGUCCUCUCUCACGGUGUAAAGCACAGUGUAAUUUUUGACAUCCUACUGGACGAUUUUCCCUGUAGCACGGAAUUUCACUGCGUCGUCCUCUCUCACGGUGUAAAGCACAGUGUAAUUUUUGACAUCCUACUGGACGAUUUUCCCUGUAGCACGGAAUUUCACUGCGUCGUCCUCUCUCACGGUGUAAAGCACAGUGUAAUUUUUGACAUCCUACUGGAUGAUUUUCCCUGUAGCACGGAAUUUCACUGCGUUUAUUUAUUGUCAUGUGCCGGUAUCUACAAAACGGUUGAAAACAGCGUCCUUCCUGCCAGAAUGGGCAAACUGUGUCAUUUCCCCGCGCAGCUUCACAGUGACGGAAUGGGCACGUGUCACCUCUGGUACAGGUAGAGUAGAAAAAAAAAUAGCAAUCUUCUCCUCGACUAGACAUGCUGAAUGAAUUCUCAGAUCAAAGGUGAGGAGGCUUCCUGAAAUAAGCCACUGCCUCCUCGAAGGGAGGACCAGCUCCAAGUCCUCCUAAAAUGGGCUUGAUCUCCUGAUCUUCCAAAUGACAAGCACAAAAUUGUCUUUAAAAUGUAAUCGUUAGCUGGUUAUUCUUAACAGGAACAUCCGGAUCUUCUCUGAGUUCCAAUCUUUUAUUCUCUUAAUACUAGUUAGUCAAUUUUCUAGGAAUUAUUAGGCAAGGGAAUAUCCCCAGUCAAUCUGCUUCUCCGUCGUCGAAGAACAAGUUGGCUUCCAGGGACCCUCAGUCUCCAGGUUUGUUGCGCAACAGAAGGGGGAGGGGAAGAAGUCAUUCUAGAUUGUGAUGCGUGGGGUGGGGGUGGGGAAGGGCAAAGAGAGGGGAGCCAGAAGCCAGCCCACUCUGCCAGGCCUAGAGUCAACGUCACAAUAUCUUAAUCUACAACCAUAACCAUGGCAACUUCCACUUAAACUGAAAUUAUACCAUAAUGAAAAACAAACAAAAAAAGCCACCCACAAACAACAACCAAAAAAUCUGACCAGCCUUUCAAGUGAGCCUUCUACUACAAUGUAUAGUACCACCUUUCCAACCAAACGUAAACAUCAGUGGAGCACAACACCACCCCAGUAUCUGAAACUCUGACCGAAGUCUCGCGCAGCAUUACCAGAGACCUUCAACAAUAACCACCUCUGUGCAACACAACUCGAACCCACGUUAUAACUUUUUCCUCUACUGUAAUGGGUAGAUUCUGGAAUCCAUUUAACUACGGCUAGUGAACUUAUGCCUGCACAGAAAUGCUCACUCCCACUUACUCUGAAAACACUUUUACUGAACUACUACAAGGAUACCCACUUCAUUCAUUUGAAAUUACUACAAAUGCCAUCAGUCCCACCUCAUCCACUGCAACUAAAAGCACAGUAAUUUCUCGUAAGCUCAAUCCGCUUAGAGACAGCAUAAUCACGUCAGUGAAACUAUGAGGAAAACAACUCUUAACUCCAUCUUCCACUGAGCCCUCAACCACAGCACCAGCUGUCACCGAACAGAACCUCCUUCAGUUCCUCUGAGUGGAAAGAAUUAAAUGAAAUACAGGUACCACUGUAUAAAUCAUUGAUUUUGAAAAUAUUACCAUAAUAAAUUUCUCAGAUGCAAAUUAAUUAGGAGAAAAAUUUAUUACUUUAAACGUUAUUUUGAAAAUGGUAAAAGUUAAUGAGUUAAGUAUUAUUUUAAAAUGAUAAAAAAUAUAAAACAUAAAUCGGACACGGUGCACAUCUGUAGUCUUAGCUACUCAGGUGGCUAAAGCAGGAAGAUUUCAAGUUCAAGCAAGCCUGGGCAAUUUAGUGAGACUUGUCUUAAAAAAGGAGAAAAAUUUAUUACUUUAAACGUUAUUUUGAAAAUGGUAAAAGUUAAUGAGUUAAGUAUUAUUUUAAAAUGAUAAAAAAUAUAAAACAUAAAUCGGACACGGUGCACAUCUGUAGUCUUAGCUACUCAGGUGGCUAAAGCAGGAAGAUUUCAAGUUCAAGCAAGCCUGGGCAAUUUAGUGAGACUUGUCUUAAAAAAAAAAAUGACCUGAUGCCUGAUGACUCAGGUGGCUAAAGCAGGAAGAUUUCAAGUUCAAGCAAGCCUGGGCAAUUUAGUGAGACUUGUCUUAAAAAACAAAUGACCUGAUGACCUGGGGAUGUAUCUCUGUGUGAAGGCUCUGGGUUUUAUUUCCCAGUACUGCAAAAAACAAAAGCAAGCAAAUAAAAAACAAAACAAAAACUCAAAACAACAAACAAAACACACACAAAAGGAGAUAAACCCCCC